rnacentral:rRNA from 1 species
CUACGGGCGGCUGCAGUGGGGAAUAUUGCACAAUGGGCGCAAGCCUGAUGCCGCCAUGCCGCGUGUGUGAAGAAGGCCUUCGGGUUGUAAAGCACUUUCAGCGGGGAGGAAGGCGUUAAGGUUAAUAACCUUGGCGAUUGACGUUACCCGCAGAAGAAGCACCGGCUAACUCCGUGCCAGCAGCCGCGGUAAUACGGAGGGUGCAAGCGUUAAUCGGAAUUACUGGGCGUAAAGCGCACGCAGGCGGUCUGUCAAGUCGGAUGUGAAAUCCCCGGGCUCAACCUGGGAACUGCAUUCGAAACUGGCAGGCUAGAGUCUUGUAGAGGGGGGUAGAAUUCCAGGUGUAGCGGUGAAAUGCGUAGAGAUCUGGAGGAAUACCGGUGGCGAAGGCGGCCCCCUGGACAAAGACUGACGCUCAGGUGCGAAAGCGUGGGGAGCAAACAGGAUUAGAUACCCUAGUAGUC